AAAAAAGCCCCCGUUGCCGCAUAAUCAAAUGAUUCAAAAUUUCAAACCACAGUUCCUGGGCCCCGGUAGCCGGCACAUUCUGCCCAAAAUAUAAAGCCCCCGUUCCCCUGUUUUAGCGAAAUUUUCCAACAAUCUUUAAAAUUAUAGUCUCUAUUGCUAUCCAUUUAUCAACAAAGGGGUUAAAAAAUCAGAAAGAAUAAUGAAU
rnacentral:lncRNA from 1 species